AGGAGAUUGGCCGAUUGGUCAGGCAGCGGAUUCCAAAUCCGUCUAGGUGGGUUCAAUUCCUACAUCUCCUG
rnacentral:tRNA from 2 species